rnacentral:rRNA from 1 species
AUGAAUUGUGUGCACAUGUAUUCAUUAGUUCUCUACUUCAUUAAACAAUCAUUGUUUCACAUAUUUCUACGGAAAAAACUGUCAGAUAGAAGAAGCACUUAUGAGCUGGCAACAGAGAAAGUAAGAAAUCCUAACCACAUUGUUUUCGUAUUAUAUUUUACCAGGUUCACAUGUCAAAUAUCCUUUCUGGCUUUCUUCGCCACAAUGGACUUUGGUUCUCUGUCUGCUAAACUCAUCUGCAGCCCAUUAGCACUUAUUCAGAGUUUUGAGUUGCAGCGGCUGUCAUGUACAUUUCAAGGGAAAACAAAAUUUCAAGAAAAUCAGUUUCUUACUUGGGAACAUCAAAAUAUAAAGUGCUUAGUUAGUAAUAAUAAAAUGCAGUGA